CUUCAACUUAUAACAUCUUUUAAAUAAAUAGAUUCGCUACAGAGUGUAGAGUAAAUUGUAAACAGGUCAGAUCGUAUGGAAAUCAACACCGAUGAGUUAUUUCUAUAUUCAACUACCAACAUAGAGGAGAUUUUGGGAAAAGCUCAGGCUCUCUCUCCAUGUGCUCUAAAAAUCGAUUCUAUUAAGACGAUCAGGAGUUACUGGUAGUGGGCUGGAGGUUGAGAAGUUGAACGAGGUUAGCAAAGGUUGGUUAUCAAAGAGCUUGUUAAGAAAAGGAAGAAGAUAAAGAAAGGUUAAUGGAAUUAUAGCAGAGGUUAUCAAAGUGUAUAUAUUUGUAACAUUUUGGAUUUGGAUGUUUUGAUGUUUGAUUAUUUGAUGUUUUGAUUUGGAUGUUUGUUAUUA